GACGAACGCUGGCGGCGUGCUUAACACAUGCAAGUCGAACGGUGAAGGAAAGCUUGCUUUCCGGAUCAGUAGCGAACGGGUGAGUAACACGUGGGCAACCUGCCCCAGACUCUGGGAUAACUCUUCGAAAGAGGGGCUAAUACCGGAUAUUCGUGCGAGGAGACAUCCUCUUGUUCGGAAAGAAUUUCGGUCUGGGAUGGGCCCGCGGCCUAUCAGCUUGUUGGUGAGGUAAUGGCUCACCAAGGCAACGACGGGUAGCCGGCCUGAGAGGGCGACCGGCCACACUGGGACUGAGACACGGCCCAGACUCCUACGGGAGGCAGCAGUGGGGAAUAUUGGUCAAUGGGCGCAAGCCUGAUCCAGCCAUGCCGCGUGAGUGAUGAAGGCCUUAGGGUUGUAAAGCUCUUUCAGUAGGGAAGAUAAUGACGGUACCUACAGAAGAAGCCCCGGCUAACUUCGUGCCAGCCGCCGCAGUAAAAC
rnacentral:rRNA from 1 species